GUACGGUGUGGUAGGAAUAGGCUUAGAGCAAACCCAAUUCUAUAGAAAUAAAGUAUGUCCCUAAAGAAAUAUAAAUAAAUCAAUGAAGUUUAUUAUGAAUCGAAUCAUAUCUUAUAUAGUCCCAUGACUCUUCUUAUCUCGUUGAGCUGAGAUGUACUAAGAGCAGUCUAAUAUGAAACUAUGUCAUUUUAUGAGAUAACUGAGAAAUUCUUUUCAUUGGUAUUGCAUCCUCGAUCCGAUCGAAGUACUUUUAAGAAUUU
rnacentral:lncRNA from 1 species